UCUUUCCCGUGUGAGAACUCUUUCUCCAGUAUUUUGCAAGCUAAAAGCUAAAGCUAAUGCGCAAAGGACUAUGGGAGUGGGGUCAAAACGCAACUGAACACGGAACCUUUCCGGAUAUCAGCUCCAGGACUCAACAUCAUGGAGUAUACAGUGAAUUAUAGCGUGAUAAAGUUAUAAUUUUCACUAAAUUUUCAACUGCACACACUUACCAGUGAACUGUGUGUAAAUCAUCAACUGCCUGUGUAUCAGCUGAUUUUUACACCAGCUUUACAUCCUGAGCAGAAGAUUGUCGUGGAGAGGACGGACCCUUGAUGCUCUGCCUUUUUGCACCAAC